UGGCUCUGGCAUCGAUGAAGAACGCAGCGAAAUGCGAUAAGUAAUGUGAAUUGCAGAAUUCAGUGAAUCAUCGAAUCUUUGAACGCACAUUGCGCCCGCCAGCACUCUGGCGGGCAUGCCUGUUCGAGCGUCAUUUCAACCCUCAGGCCCUGCCUGGCGUUGGGGCGCUGCCGUCCACCAAGCGGCAGGCUCCUAAAGACAGCGGCGGGAGCGCCCGCGACCGAGCGUAGUACAGCACCUCGCUCAGGGAGCACGGCGCCCUCUGGCCGGAAAAGCACCAAUUACAGUGGUUGACCUCGGAUCAGGUAGGAAUACCCGCUGA
rnacentral:misc_RNA from 1 species